rnacentral:rRNA from 1 species
GGGGAAUUUUCCGCAAUGGGCGAAAGCCUGACGGAGCAAUACCGCGUGAGGGAGGAAGGCUCUUGGGUCGUAAACCUCUUUUCUCAAGGAAGAACACAAUGACGGUACUUGAGGAAUAAGCAUCGGCUAACUCCGUGCCAGCAGCCGCGGUAAUACGGAGGAUGCAAGCGUUAUCCGGAAUGAUUGGGCGUAAAGGGUCCGCAGGUGGAACUGAAAGUCUGCUGUUAAAGAAUCUGGCUCAACCAGAUAGAAGCAGUGGAAACUACAGAACUAGAGUACGUUCGGGGCAGAAGGAAUUCCUGGUGUAGCGGUGAAAUGCGUAGAUAUCAGGAAGAACACCGGUGGCGAAAGCGUUCUGCUAGGCCGUAACUGACACUGAGGGACGAAAGCUAGGGGAGCGAAUGGGAUUAGAUACCCCAGUAGUC